rnacentral:rRNA from 1 species
GAAUUUGCCCAUUGGUCAGGCUUAGCUGUCUGAACUGGUGUGACGAGUUCCUACCUUCUGAGGAAUCUUCAUGCCAUUCAUUUGGUGUGGGGGGAAAUCAGGACUGUUACUUUGAAAAAAUUAGAGUGUUUAAAGCAGGCAUCCGUCUGAAUACAUUAGCAUGGAAUAAUGAAAUAGGACGUUUGAUUCUAUUUUGUUGGUUUCUAGGAUCGACGUAAUGAUUAAUAGGGAUAGUUG